CGCCGAGCUUGAGCCACUGAUCACCGAUUUGGAGCCACAAUUUACAAAUCUGGAGCAACUGUUCAUCUAUUUGGAUCCACCAUUUGUUGAUUCGUUGAUCUCAACAAGGCAGCUGUUCAUCGAUUUGGAUCCACCAUUUGUUGAUUCGCUGAUCUCAACAAAUUUCAAUGGAGUACAAUUUUGAUGGUUUUGGAGAUGAGAGUAAUGAGGAGCUUGAGCUAUACGUAGUGUUGCAAGUUGUAAUGUAAGAAUUGUACACCUUAUGCGUUGUAGCAUAUAUUGCCAUUGAAAUUGUCUUGAAGAGGUACAUUCAUAAGUAUCCUCGUACCGUUAUUCGAGGCCCCAAUCGAUUGCAAGAACAAAUGGACCACAUUAAUCGGCUAGUGAGAGAAAGCGACAUUACAUGCAUUGAACAACUUCGUAUGGAUAGGCGUUGUUUUAUGACGUUAUGCCAUAUGGUUCGUAUAAUAGGCGGGUUGGGGCAUUCAAAACAUGUUACCUUAGAAGAGAAGAUGGCCUUGUUCCUCUACGUCUUGGCACAUGACCUGAAAGUAUGAAAACUUAAGUUCAAUUUCUUUAGGUCCGGAGAGACUGUAAGUCGACAUUUCAAUGAUGUCCUAAAAGCUGUGUUGCGCCUUCAAGGCCACUUACUUAGGACACCAAAUCCUAUAACACAAGCAUGCACUGAUCCAAGGUGGAAUUGCUUCCAGAAUUGUCUUGGAGCACUUGAUGGAACCUAUAUUAAAGUUCGUGUACCAGUGGUUUACCAAGCACGGUAUAGAACGCGGAAGGAGGAGAUAGCUACCAAUGUUCUAGGAGUUUGCUCUCAGGACAUGAACUUCAUAUAUGUGUUGCCAGGGUGGGAAGGGUCAGCUGCAGAUUCUAGGGUUUUGAGGGAUGCGAUUAAUCGAUCCAAUGGCUUAAGAAUUCCAACUGGCAUGGAUAGUGAAGUGUCUAGUUCUCGUAAAAAAGUAAAGGAGAAAGUUGAUCAGUCAAAACCAAGGCGAUUGUGGAGCCCACGAGAAGAGCAAUGUCUUAUUAAUGCCUUGAUGCACAUUGUCAACAAUGGAAUGAAACAGGACAAUGCCUUCAAGGCCGGCUACCUUAUGAAAUUAGAGGAGAAAUUGUUGGAGAUCUACCCGGGACAAACCUUCGUGGCACUCCCCACAUCGAAUCAAAGAUAAAGAUAUGGAAGAAUCACUACAACUGUGUAGCUGGAAUGCUUGGUACUAGUGGUUUUGGAUGGAAUGGCACCGGAAAAAGAUUUGAUGUUGAGAGUGAUAGUGUCUGGGAAGCAUGUGUUCGGAUAAAAUACUUUCUUUUAAGUUACUUUGUAUAAGUUAUUAAUUUUUUAAUUCAUUUUUAUUUAAUCUUAAGUUGGAGAUAUUAAUUGAAAUUGGUUAUUGUAGAGGGAGAGCGAUGCGAAAAACCUACGAAACAAAAGUUUUCCAUAUUUCAACUCAUGGAUCCACAUAUUUGGUAAGGAUCGAGCUACGGGGGAGUUUGCUGAAGGGCUUGCUGAUGCAGUUGAUGCUAUAAAUGCUGAGGAAGAAUUGUUGUUCAACAGUCUUGCAGAUGAUGACACAUUUCUUGAACAUAUGGGUAUUAGUAGUUAUAUCGGCGAGGGAAUAAAUUGCUCCAGCUCAUCAAGUUAACGACCACCUGAAAGUUCUACAAAAAAGAAUG